UACGAAGGGGGCUAGCGUUGUUCGGAAUCACUGGGCGUAAAGCGCACGUAGGCGGAUUGUUAAGUCAGGGGUGAAAUCCUGGAGCUCAACUCCAGAACUGCCUUUGAUACUGGCGAUCUCGAGUCCGGGAGAGGUGAGUGGAACUGCGAGUGUAGAGGUGAAAUUCGUAGAUAUUCGCAAGAACACCAGUGGCGAAGGCGGACUCACUGGCCCGGUACUGACGCUGAGGUGCGAAAGCGUGGGGAGCAAACAGG
rnacentral:rRNA from 1 species